rnacentral:ncRNA from 1 species
ACUUAAUACACUGAGCAGGCGGCGGACAGCCAGUCCGCGGAAGCCGGGUCGUCGAAGAGCGGCAGCAGGAUCUGCAUCAGCAGUCUUUGCGGGACAACA